rnacentral:lncRNA from 10 species
GCACAACAUUCUGUCUCUCCCAAAGGAGAGGAGCUGGGAAAAUCUGUGUGUGGCUCUAGCUGGCUCUAGAAGAUUAAUGGCUGAGGAGUGAAGAGGACAAAUGCAGGCAGGGGUACUGCUGUGGAGCAGAAUCACCAGGAGGCCUGGACAAUGAGGAAAUGGAGAGAAAAAAGAAAUUGAGACUGAAGUGGUUUAUGUACAAUGCCAAAGCUCCCACACGUAGUGCAUGGAAAAGGAGCCCUCAGAACCUGGGCUUUUCGAACUACAGCUAUGUCAUUGGAGGAAAGAGAACAGCUCAGCUCUCCAAAUUGCAGUAACUGUUGAGCUAAGGUGAUGACGUCAAGGGGAAGAUGAAUGUACUUCCAGCUGGACUUAAGAGAAGCAACGGUGUCAAACAACGACUCAUUAAGAAAUACACACCUGUCAUAAACGCAAGACCCUCUCAGGGGAGAUAUUGAAUUGUGUUCCCUGCUUCCUAUGAAAAGGUGCAAUGAAAAAAAAAAUUAACUAUCAACUACCAGAUGUUUCUAGCAUCUCUAUUAGUUUGAGAAAGAUGAAACAAUUGCUGCAUUGUACAGAUGUGUAACUCACAGAAGUAUUUUGGAUGUGGGAGGAAGGCUCAACUAAAUGUGUCUUGAGAAUAAUUGAUCUUUUCUUUUUGGCACUGCUUCAUAAUAACAGGAAGAAAUCUCCUCCUCUCCUUGAAUUGACACAUUUUUUACCAACACUAAGAAUAAAUGAACAUAUAUUUAAAGGUGCAAGCAUAUGGAUAUGCAUUUUUCAGUCUGACUUUGCUUCACUGCAUCAAUUAUAAUUAUCUUGAACUUCCUGGUGACACUCAUACAUGCACGUUUCAUGAUUUGAAAGCUUUCUAGUUGUAGAAAGCUGUAAGUACUGUAAAUCCCAUUCUCCAAAUAGUAAGAAUGGAGUCUGGUGAGGAGAGGUUGUGUGGUCAAUGGUAUAGAGAAGGACAGAGCUAAAACUAUUAGAGCCUAUGCUCUAUAACUAUUAAGAGACAAUAUAUACAAAAUGUUUGAGUUACUCUUGUCCUCACAAGCAAUGCUCGAUGUUCUAGUAUAUGGAGAAGUCAUCAAUAUGUGCUAUUCAAGAAAAGGGUCAGGAGUACACAGUGGCAACAGCCUCAACUUCUGCCUAUGGUUCCACAUUAUUGCAUCUCCCAAGUGAAUGGGCUUUGGCUUCAGCCCCUUGUCAUCUCAGUGCCACAGGAGAGCUAAAGAAGGGAAAGCAGAGGGGGAAUGCCAUUUUAUGUCAUGGAGUACAGGGCUCACAAACAGGCUUUAGCUCAACAUGCCAAAUCUGAUGGAUUUUCUCUAGUGGCUGUCCUGGCUCUAACUGGAAAAGGAUUCUGAGGUUGUAUCUGGGCUUAGGCAGGAAGAGAGGUGAAAUCUAUUAGCAACAUUUGCCAGU